GAUGAACGCUGACAGAAUGCUUAACACAUGCAAGUCGAUUCAAAGUUCCUUUCGGGGAACGGAGGAUGGCGGACGGGUGAGUAACGCGUAAGGAACUUGCCUUUUGGCCUGGGAUAACUGUUGGAAACGACAGCUAAUACCGGAUAUUAUGAGAUUCUCGCAUGGGAAACUUAUGAAAGCUAUAUGCGCCAAAAGAGAGCCUUGCGUUCCAUUAGCUAGUUGGUGGGGUAACGGCCCACCAAGGCGACGAUGGAUAGCCGGCCUGAGAGGGUGAACGGCCACAAGGGGACUGAGACACGGCCCUUACUCCUACGGGAGGCAGCAGUGGGGAAUAUUGGACAAUGGGCCACAAGCCUGAUCCAGCAAUUCUGUGUGCACGAUGAAGGUUUUCGGAUCGUAAAGUGCUUUCAGUUGGGAAGAAGAAAGUGACGGUACCAACAGAAGAAGCGACGGCUAAAUACGUGCCAGCAGCCGCGGUAAUACGUAUGUCGCAAGCGUUAUCCGGAUUUAUUGGGCGUAAAGCGCGUCUAGGCGGAAAAGAAAGUCUGAUGUUAAAAUGCGGGGCUCAACUCCGUAUUGCGUUGGAAACUGCUUUUCUAGAGUACUGGAGAGGUGGGCGGAACUACAAGUGUAGAGGUGAAAUUCGUAGAUAUUUGUAGGAAUGCCGAUGGAGAAGUCAGCUCACUGGACAGAUACUGACGCUAAAGCGCGAAAGCGUGGGGAGCAAACAGG
rnacentral:rRNA from 1 species